UACGUAGGGGGCAAGCGUUGUCCGGAAUCAUUGGGCGUAAAGCGCGUGUAGGCGGUCCGGUAAGUCGGCUGUGAAAGUCCAGGGCUCAACCCUGGGAUGCCGGUCGAUACUGCCGGACUAGAGUUCGGAAGAGGCGAGUGGAAUUCCCCGGUGUAGCGGUGAAAUGCGCAGAUAUCGGGAGGAACACCAAUGGCGAAGGCAGCUCGCUGGGACGUUACUGACGC
rnacentral:rRNA from 1 species